CACAUGCAAGUCGAGCGAAGCACUUUUGCGGAUUUCUUCGAGAUUGAAGCAAUUGUGACUGAGCGGCGGACGGGUGAGUAACGCGUGGGUAACCUGCCUCAUACAGGGGGAUAACAGUUGGAAACGGCUGCUAAUACCGCAUAAGCGCACAGUACCGCAUGGUACCGUGUGAAAAACUCCGGUGGUAUGAGAUGGACCCGCGUCUGAUUAGCUAGUUGGUGGGGUAACGGCCUACCAAGGCGACGAUCAGUAGCCGACCUGAGAGGGUGACCGGCCACAUUGGGACUGAGACACGGCCCAAACUCCUACGGGAGGCAGCAGUGGGGAAUAUUGCACAAUGGGGGAAACCCUGAUGCAGCGACGCCGCGUGAGCGAUGAAGUAUUUCGGUAUGUAAAGCUCUAUCAGCAGGGAAGAAAAUGACGGUACCUGACUAAGAAGCCCCGGCUAACUACGUGCCAGCAGCCGCGGUAAUACGUAGGGGGCAAGCGUUAUCCGGAUUUACUGGGUGUAAAGGGAGCGUAGACCGGCAUGGCAAGCCAGAUGUGAAAGCCCGGGGCUCAACCCCGGGACUGCAUUUGGAACUGUCAGGCUAGAGUGUCGGAGAGGAAAGCGGAAUUCCUAGUGUAGCGGUGAAAUGCGUAGAUACUCCAGGAGGAACACCAGUGGCGAAGGCGGCUUUCUGGACGA
rnacentral:rRNA from 1 species